AGAGCGAACGCUGGCGGCAGGCUUAACACAUGCAAGUCGAGCGGAUGUAGCAAUACAUCAGCGGCAGACGGGAGAGGAACACGUGGGAACGCGCCCUUUGGUUCGGAAUAACUCAGGGAAACUUGAGCUAAUACCGGAUAAGCCCUUACGGGGAAAGAUUUAUCGCCAAAGGAACGGCCCGCGUCCGAUUAGCUAGUUGGUGAGGUAAUGGCUCACCAAGGCGACGAUCGGUAGCUGGUCUGAGAGGAUGACCAGCCUCACUGGGACUGAGACACGGCCCAGACUCCUACGGGAGGCAGCAGUGGGGAAUAUUGGACAAUGGGCGCAAGCCUGAUCCAGCCAUGCCGCGUGAGUGAUGAAGGCCUUAGGGUUGUAAAGCUCUUUAGCAGGGAAGAUAAUGACGGUACCUGCAGAAAAGCCCGGCUAACUUCGCGCCAGCAGCCGC
rnacentral:rRNA from 1 species